AGCGAACGCUGGCGGCAGGCCUAACACAUGCAAGUCGAACGAACUCUUCGGAGUUAGCGGCGGACGGGUGAGUAACACGUGGGAACGUGCCUUUAGGUUCGGAAUAACUCAGGGAAACUUGUGCUAAUACCGAAUGUGCCCUUUGGGGGAAAGAGUUAUCGCCUUUAGAGCGUCCCGCGUCUGAUUAGCUAGUUUGUGAGGUAAAUGCUAACCAAGGCGACGAUCAGUAGCUGGUCUGAGAGGAUGAUCAGCCACACUGGGACUGAGACACGGCCCAAACUCCUACUGGAGGCAGCAGUGGGGAAUAUUGCGCAUUGGGCGAAAGCCUGACGAAGCCAUGCCGCGUGAAUGAUGAAGGUCUUAGGAUUGUAAAAUUCUUUCACCGGGGACGAUAAUGACGGUACCCGGAGAAGAAGCCCCGUCUAACUUCGUGCCAGCCGCCGCGGUAA
rnacentral:rRNA from 1 species